AUUGAACGCUGGCGGCAUGCCUUACACAUGCAAGUCGAACGGCAGCACGGGGGGUAACCCCUGGUGGCGAGUGGCGAACGGGUGAGUAAUAUAUCGGAACGUGUCCUGUAGCGGGGGAUAACCUAUCGAAAGAUGGACUAAUACCGCAUACGACCUACUGGUGAAAGCGGAGGACCGCAAGGCUUCGCCCUAUUGGAGCUGCUGAUAUCGGAUUCGCUAGUUGGCCGGGUAACGGCCCACCAAGGCGACGCUCCGUAGCUGGUCUGAGAGGACGAUUAGCCACACUGGAACGGAGACACGGUCCAGACUCCUACGGGAGGGAGCAGAGGGGAAGAUUGGACAAUGGGCGAAAGCAUGAUCCAGGAAUGCCACGUGAGAGAAGAAGGACUUCGGGUUGGAAAGCUCUUUCGGCGGGGACGAAACGGUUCGUGCUAAUACCACGGACUACUGACGGUACCCGCAGAAGAAGCACCGGCUAACUACGUG
rnacentral:rRNA from 1 species